rnacentral:rRNA from 1 species
UACGUAGGGGGGCAAGCGUUGUCCGGGAUUUAUUGGGCGUAAAGAGCGUGUAGGCGGCCAGGCAGGUCCGCUGUGAAAACUCGAGGCUCAACCUCGAGAGGUCGGUGGAAACCGUUUGGCUAGAGUCCGGAAGAGGAGAGUGGAAUUCCCGGUGUAGCGGUGAAAUGCGCAGAUAUCGGGGAAGAACACCCGUGGCGAAGGCGGCUCUCUGGGACGGUACUGACGCUGAGACGCGAAAGCGUGGGGAGCGAACGAGG